AAAGAGUGAAAAACUACUUACGUGCAUACCAACAAGAACAAAUAACUGAUAAUCCGCUGAGCCCGCGUUUGCAAACGACAUGCAAUAAAAUUUAAAAAUCUUUGUGAUUUAUGGUAAUAAAACACCAAAAACACAGAGGAAUACAUAAAAUUAGGAAUAUGUAAUGGAAUCGCACAUCAAGAUCCUGAUUACCAGAAUCUGAUCCGCUAGCGCCAGCCCCAACAGCUGCUCCCGAAAAGAAACCAGAGCCCUACAUGCAGUAAUCAAAUGGAUAAGAUUACGACCAAGCGUACGAGAAUGUCGUCCAUAGUAAUUGACGGCCGGGAAAUCAAGCUUUUUAUCGGCGUUCAUCUGACGGCAGUUCCGUUACAGCAGCCGCUGAAAGGAGACUCAAGAAGCCAAUGUGAAAUGAGGACGCUGAUGACAACAAUUCAGCAUUGGUUGAUCUCGACUUUUACGCUGUAUAAUAUUGUUUUCGAGAUUGUUUCUAAGUGAAUAUGUUGUUGUAUGUAAAUAGAUCUUAAUGUCAGGAAAUAAAACUUCAUGCCUCUUAAAUUAUAACAAUGUCUUUUUCAAAUCCAUAUUAUUUUUUCUAUACGAAUUAUUUAGAAUAGAAAAGAGUAAGUUUUACCCACUGUGCUCGAAUUUUGUUUACGAUAAUGGGUAAAAAUCACACAUGAACUUGACGUACAGGUCUUUUACCCAUUAAUGAGUAAACGCUGUUUACUCUUUUAAUGAGUUGAACUAUUUAACUUCAUAAUGGGUACAUUUUUACCCAUUAAAGAGUACUUUGGUGGCAC